CCUACGGGAGGCAGCAGUAAGGAAUAUUGGUCAAUGGACGAAAGUCUGAACCAGCCAUGCCGCGUGAAGGAUGAAGGCCCUCUGGGUUGUAAACUUCUUUUAUAGGGGACGAAAAAAGGGAAUUCUUUCCCACUUGACGGUACCCUAGGAAUAAGCACCGGCUAACUCCGUGCCAGCAGCCGCGGUAAUACGGAGGGUGCAAGCGUUAUCCGGAUUUACUGGGUUUAAAGGGUGCGUAGGUGGGCAGUUAAGUCAGUGGUGAAAUCUCCGAGCUUAACUCGGAAACUGCCAUUGAUACUAUCUGUCUUGAAUAUCCUGGAGGUGAGCGGAAUAUGUCAUGUAGCGGUGAAAUGCUUAGAUAUGACAUAGAACACCAAUUACGAAGGCAGCUCACUACGGGAUUAUUGACACUGAGGCACGAAAGCGUGGGGAUCAAACAGGAUUAGAUACCCUGGUAGUCCACGCCCUAAACUAUGGAUACUCGACAUCAGCGACACACUGUUGGUGUCUGAGCGAAAGCAUUAAGUAUCCACCUGGAAGUACGAUCGCAGAUUGAAACUCAAAGGAAUUGACGGCUGAGACCGNGCGAGACGACACGAGGGAGGAGG
rnacentral:rRNA from 1 species